rnacentral:rRNA from 1 species
AUUGAACGCUGGCGGCAUGCCUUACACAUGCAAGUCGAACGGCAGCACGGGAGCUUGCUCCUGGUGGCGAGUGGCGAACGGGUGAGUAAUACAUCGGAACGUACCCUGAAGUGGGGGAUAACGUAGCGAAAGUUACGCUAAUACCGCAUAUUCUGUGAGCAGGAAAGAGGGGGAUCGCAAGACCUCUUGCUUUAGGAGCGGCCGAUGUCGGAUUAGCUAGUUGGUGAGGUAAAGGCUCACCAAGGCGACGAUCCGUAGCGGGUCUGAGAGGAUGAUCCGCCACACUGGGACUGAGACACGGCCCAGACUCCUACGGGAGGCAGCAGUGGGGAAUAUUGGACAAUGGGCGCAAGCCUGAUCCAGCAAUGCCGCGUGUGUGAAGAAGGCCUGCGGGUUGUAAAGCACUUUCAGUGGGGAAGAACGGAUACGGGCAAUACCCGCAUCACUGACGUUACCCACAGAAGAAGCACCGGGCUAACUCCGUGCCAGCA